GUACUCAUUUUGUCAGCACAUGUACUUAAAAUUAGAAUGACACGUGAAAAUUAGCAUGACCUCGGCACAAGGAUGACAUGCAAAUAUGUGAUGCAUUCCAUAUUUUA